GCUGCUGAACAGCCGAGAGCCAACGCGGGAGAAGGAGGGAGGCCAGUGUUUACUUUGGUUGCCAUGAACACCGCUUCCCAUAAAGCUUUGCGAAGCACGUGGGGCGAGCACGCGCGCGAGCUCGCGUCUGUUUUGAUGCGUAAAACUCAUCAAGAUCUACUGGAUGAACACACAUCCAGGUAAAGACCCUUCAGUUACUCUGAAACACCUGGGCUCAAGUUAUGAUUUGCCACGUGCUGGCUCUAAUGGUGCAGCUAAUUGCUCAGGUUGUUUAGCUGUGAGGAAUGCUGUAGAGGAGUGCGUGCGCAGGGCUGCUCCCUUUGCUUGAUCGCCAAGAGCACAUCAUAAUGGGCGGAGGGGAAGAGAAAGAAGAGGAUUUCUUUCUCCCACCAAAUUGUAGCCAAUUUAAGGACAAAGCGCUACCCUCUAGUUCGUCAGAGUAGGAGUCUCACUCAUAAAAGAAGACUGACAGUCGGGCAUCCAAAUCUCAUUCAAGGACGCAAUUUCCAAAUGCUAAUCAUAAUCUGCAGAUGUUGGCCACUGAUACAUGCGCUUAUUUAUUUAUUUCCUAGGCGCGUCUGUGCCCAUUUGGACGGCUUGUGAUAUCUGAAACAAAGAAGGGGAAAAUCCCUCCUUUUUGAGGCGCGCGGACAUCUGCACCGCCGGUGGAGGGACCGCGCACGCCGGCCGGCGCCGGAGCGCGUGCACGCACACGGGAAGUGCUGGACACGUGCACGCACACACACACAGACACACACGUGCAACGCCGAACCCCUUCCUCCUUUUCUACUCUCCCCUUCUCUUCGGGUCGUUUUAGAGUAGCUCAGAUGUGUCAUCAGACAUUGGUUUGCAUCUGAACCUGAGGGAAAAAAGAAAUACUUGACAGAAAGGUAUAUAAAAAGAGGACACUCUGAAUUUUUGACAUUCUUCGCACAGCUGCUUCAAAAUGAGUAGGAUGGAGAGGUAAGGGAAAAGCAACUCCAAGACACGGUUUUGUUUAUUUGCUGCCUUUUCUCCCUUCCCUCUUUCAGGGAGAUGGAGGCUAGCGCGAGGCCACAACUCACUCAUCCUUGUAUAGAGGGACUCAGGCGCAGGGCCGUGAAAGAGAAAUAGGCACGGCUAAAUGAAUUCUGGGAUCUGUUCUAUUCAGCCCAACUCAAAAAGGAUAACCCUUUUAUCCAUUUAGAUACCAAAUGCAAGGUGAAACCCAACUCAACUUGUCAGCUAGGUGACAUUAAAUACACGGCUUCCUUUGAUGGUUGUAUUCUCUCCCGGGAGUGAGAAAAAGAAGUUGCCCCACUACAAAUGGAUGUAAUGGCUUCGGUGCCUCCACCCACCCUCUUUCCAGUCAGCAGCAGACUGUGAGCGAGGCAGACUCUGCACGUCUGGCCGCCAAAACACUCAACAUGCCACAGCACUCCGGCUGGGUGCUGAAAGCGGGUGCCGCAGUUAGAAGCGCUUGGCGAAGGCAAACAGGGGGUUCAGGUAUCCAGCCACACUCGCCUUUCCCACAGCCAACGCACACGGAUGUGCGAGCAGUGACGAUGAGGAGGCUGGAGCCCUGCUUAAAUAGAGGAUGUCGUUCCCACGGAUACGCUGCGGACCAGAACCUGGCUGAUGUCACAUCAUUCAGCCUCAAGAUCGCAGAUUCCAAGAUACCCGAGAUCCAGUGUCCGGCAGAUACGCCUGGCAAACGGGAAGCACUCGGAGACAUCGGCGGAUGGGACGAGGCGAUAACGUUCCGAAAGCGGUGCCACCUAAAUUAACCUGAUUCUAAUAGGAAUCCAGAUAAGGUGGGAAAUGAAAGGUUUCUUUUCAAAGCAGUACACAACAUGGAAGCGCUAAGCAAUUGAUUUCCAUUUCCUCCCUGGAUGCACCCCCUCCCCUCCCCUCGUCAACCCCCCCCCCAUCAGCGCAUAUUCAUAAUUCGAGAUGAGGCGAUACCGCGUUAAUAUUCUCUAUCUUAUCUUGUCACAUCCUGAAAAUUGUUGGAGAGGACACGAUUAGCCGAACAAUGGCAUGAGAAAUGCACUUCAUGAAAGCCAUCCAGGUUUCGGUGACAAAGAGAGCGGCGAGGGGGUGGAGGGCGGAGGGGCCGAGGAGCCGGGCACGGCGGCGGGCCAGCGCCCUCGUCUCUGGAUCUCGAUUCGUCACGCCGCGGCGUUUACAAGAGGCCGUCGGCGGCCGGCGGCGCACGAUUAGCAUUUUAUCAUUGUUUACGGGCCGCUCAGGAAGCGGCGGGGCGGCCUCCAGCCAAGGGGGCUCCGGAGCGCCGUGUUCUUGGACCGCUUAAAUGCACCAUUAAGCCUUUUAAAAUGAGCUCCACCCGUCGGAGGCUAAAAACAAACGUGGCUUUCUAGCUAUCAAUGGGCACCACUUAGAAGAAACAAUGCCCUGUUGAAGCCCACCAGUUUCCUCAUCAAUAAACAUCAAAGAUGAAUGAGCCCUGGCUGACAGCUUUGUUUCUGACUCUGAUACCCACAAAGCCCUUCUCAACAUCAUCCCGGGCUUGUUCCUCUGGGCAGCCCGAACAGGUGCUACCCCUCUCCUCAAUGCGCUGUUUGACAAGGCCGCGGACGGGCAGGGGUGGCGGGGGGCUUUGCUUCACAUCCUCCUUAAUCCGUCCCACUAUAAAAACACUUUGAAAAACAACAAACGUUUGUUUGGCCAAAGUCAAAGCCCUGGAGCCUGGGGCUCAUCCGUCUGUCUGCCCGGGCUUUCGCCCUUUCAUUCCUGCCCGCUUUUCUUUUUUUGUCUAGGUUUCAACCCAUCCCUGCUCAUUUGGACAGGACAUUAAACAAGACCCGAGAGGAUCUGAUUCCCUGCCAUUUCCCACAAGAGGAAUACAUGCAGUAACAACAGCCAAUCGCUUGGAUUAUGAUAACAGCGGCGGGUGAAAAAGAAAGCGCCGGGAGAGGGAGGGGGAGAAAAAGUCGGACAAUCUCACAGCCCAAAACAUCCAGUAAUGAGAAAACAACUGGCAGCAUCAAACGACACGAGCACGAGAAAAUGAAAUUCGAAGAAAAGAUGUGUUGCUUUGAACUUGUUAAUUGUGAGCCAGCCUUGGCUUCUGAGGGCACCGAGACGACCCCUGGUGGGAUCCGCAAUCUCCACUCGCAGGCUGGUUUUUGGGGCCAGAUUUGGAGAACCCACUGUUCACAAAUAUCUCCAGUGGUUUGAAUAGAACAGGAAGAAAACCGUCUAAGGUAUCAGACAGCACUGAAACUAAAUUCUAUUGGAAUUAUUAUUGAAUUAUUUUAUUUGUUUAUUUUAUUUGGAUUUUAUUUUAUUUCCUAAUAUUAUUAUUGGUUUAAUACAAACAAUUGUGUAAAAAAUGUAAAGCCACUGGGUGGAAUAAACACAAUAAACACAAAGUGGAUGUUUUCAGUUUGAGGCUCUGUGCAGCAGCUCAUUGUGCUGCUGUGGCUGCUCUCCAUGCCAGAAAGCCAGCAGCCCUGUGUGGACUUGUCCUAUCUGAUCCCGUUCAUCCUGAAGUUUCUCAAUGGUCAGAUAUAAAUUUCAAAAUGUGCUCCAAGAGUGGGCUCUCGUCAGGAAACAGGGAUGGGGACCCGCGCGAUGGUCCACCCCAACACCUUAAUGUGGUUUAACAGGAUACAUUAGCUUUUAAUGGCACUUAAUUGUACAAAAAGGAAAUCCAUAACCACAUAAGGAGAAAAGUCAAGUAUUUCCAAGCUCUUUAUAAGAACAAUUUAGAGCAUACAAGUGCUUUUCAAACCUUGGAUUGGAAUCGGCCAGACAGCCGGCCAUUAGAAGGCUGCGCCUGACAUUUGUGAGGCUACAGCGCCACCAUUCGGUCGUGAACGCACCCUUCGCCUCGCAGCCAAACCCUGGCAAUUGUCAAUUCCAGGGCUGUGUAAAAAGAAUAAAUUAUGUAUGUUUAUGCUUUGGAAAUCCCAUUUUGAAAUAAAUGAUCUCAUUUGAAAAAUAAUGUCACAGUCGCCGCUGUAAUUGUCUACACUCUGCACUGAACUGUAGCUUUGGGCUCUGCCGCCGACUAUAAAGUUGAAUUGUCUUAGUCUGUGAGGCCUCAUUUAAAAAAAAGAAAAAAAAGGAGCAGGACCUAAAAUGCGUCCAGGUGCAGUAUUAAGAGACGCACAAAAAUAUCCCGGUGUGUUGUUUUUGUUGUUGUUGAUAGAUUAUUGUAGGUCCAUGCCAUCUUAGAUAAUGAGCAAUAACCUGCACUUCAAGAACAGGGGAGGUUUGCCAAGAAGGAAUGGUGAUUACAAUCAAUUAGGACUGAUGACAAAGCACCAACAAUAACCCUGCGUGUGUGUGUGUGUGUGUGUGUGUGUGUGUGUGUGUGUGUGUGUGUGUGUGUGUGAGCUGGGUUUUAUUCACGCAUCCUUCCAAACUACCCUGUUUUGUGUAAUCAACAUCUGUUGUGACAGGCAUCCUCCUCCUUUCUCAGAAUGGCCCACUUCAGAUAAUGAGUGUCAUACCAAACUGCAGGGCAAAGGCUGAUUUUACUCCUUGCUUUUUUUUCUUUUUUUUUUUUUUUUACUCCUCCUCUUUGGUCUCCACUCUCACUACCCCUCUGUUCCUUCCCCUAUCAUUCAAGACAUCCUUUGUGGAGAACCUUGAAAAACAGAGACAAACGCUGGUUCCGCAUUGUCACCGCUCAACAUGUGGGAGUGGUGGGUGAAGUAGAACGGAUCAUUUAUUGAGAGUAGAAUCCUUCACAACCGACACGUAAACACGGACAUCCUUGUGAAUGCCUUUAUUUUACUUUCAGAAUAUAGUCGUUGAAAUGAAACCCGCUCCUCCUUACAUUCACCUUGAUAUUUCCUCUUUCUGUUGUUCUGAAUAAAUUAACCCGCUUUUAUUUACUGAAACAGCUGCUGUUCAUGGAGCAGUGAGGGGUUUUUAUUCAUGAAAACAAAACGGACUCAGUAAUUUGUGUAGUCUGUGCUGGUAUUUCCUCGAUGACACUUAUUGCUAUGCCUGUGUUUAAAGCGCCAUCUGCUGGCGACUUUUGUCACUGCAGAUAAAAUGGCUUAAAAGACUGUCUAGUGGCUUCUGUGCCCAAUAUCUAGUCAAUAUAUGCCUUUUUUUGAUUUUCUAAUACUACUUAGUUUUACACAGUCUUUAUUGUAUAAGAGGUAAUAUUGACAAAACAAGAUUAUCUAAAUCUACAAGAAUUUUUUAGCCACAAUUUGUACUAUUACAGUAUAAGUAGAGUACUUCUAUAGGCUCUAAGCUCAGUCGUCAGUGAACUGUGUCUAAGAAGCACAAGUAAAAUAAUUUUCCCAGCUUAGCUUCAAAAUUAAUUGCUUCCCAAAUAAGACAGAUAGGUUCAGAUAUGCGAAUGUGUGUGUGAUUGCACAGAAUGCUAGGUUUUUUUUAGGUUGAUUAGCAGAUGCAUCCAAUUUGACCAAACUGAAGAUUCAACUCAUAAACUCAUUUCCAAGAUGGCAUUCACUGUCUGCACAGCCGAGUAGAAAAAAAAAUCUGAAAAUCCAUUAAUAUUGCGAGCACACUGAACUCUGUUCAAGCAUAACCUAAGUUUGACUGCAGGAGAGCUCUUUGAUUCAAACACUCCCUUGUAUUUGUGUAUUCAUUCACUAAAGCCUUCAGUUUAAAGUGUCAAGUGGCAACAACUUGAAUCAGCAGGAAAGCCGUUUUACCUUUUUUCUCUUUGUAAGUGGGACUGUAGUGGGGUGUUAAUAUCAAGAUAUAUUCUACAGGUCUCUUUAAUGUGAAAGUUAGGUUUGCUGGUUCAUGCAUAAGUGCAAUUUAGCUACAAUGGCACAUUUUACUACAAGUACAGUACAAUCAAUAACCCUAACAGUUGCCCUUCACCACGUUAAAUGUCCCAGUAUGACACUACGUGCAAUAAAUAUUACAGCCCUAGAAAAUUAAAUGAACAACACUGUGAUUUGAUAAUCAGAGGAUUACAAUGAAACUGUUGCUUGUCUUAUGUGACUGAGUUUGCACAUUUACUCAUUUAAGAAUAUAUCAUUUUUACUCGACAUUUACUGCUACUAUAUCAGUGUCAGCCCUCGUAUCAGAGUUAGUAGGAACAUAAAAUCAAUUCUCAAGUUACAAUGCAAAUUAUAACUCUAAAUGGUUGAUUGAGCUUGAAUUGCUGAAGUAAAAGUGUAUGAUAAUACAGACAUGAUCAUUCAUUUUAAUCAGCUUUGACUUUGUUGCUGGUAAUAAUAGUGAUGUACAAGUGUAGUAAAAUUAUGAGGAUGAAAGACAAACACACCAGGUGGUAAUACCUAAUAUGUCAUCA